GAAAGUCAAAUCCAAUAAAACAAAUUUCAUGAUUUCAAAUUCAGCCUCAGUGUUCAUUCAGUGCAAGUCUGGGGAGCCUUUAGAAUGAACUGGGCUCAUCUGCAGCAGACCCCAGGCUCAUUACUCAGGGCGCGUGGAUACUUCCAGAGCCAUGUCCCUUCCCAAUAAAUCAUCAGACACACAUAUAUCCCUGCUUGUUCUAAGUCGUGUUCCUGAGGGUCUCAUACUCAGCAGCAAUCCCCAACCUCGCCAGCCUGACAAACACCGGCCUCCCUAGAUCUGAGCCCACACCCCUCAAUCCUCCCUCACCUCCCUUCAUUCCUUGCCUUGAGUGCUUUGGCAAGUUGCUGAGCCUCUCUGAGCCUAGGUCACUCACCUUAUAGUAGGGGUGGUAAGAAUGCCGGGCGGGUGGUGACAACUAGUCCAAGAGUUGUGUGGUGAAUGAGUGACCCAAAAAAUGCAUACUUCCUAGGGUUGUUUUGAGAAUCAGGGGAAACAUGAUGAGGGUGGGCGGGGUACACAGUAAGCACUCAGUACACAGUAGCUACUACGAUAAAAUAGGUAGAAGGACUGAGGCCCUGCACUGGGAGUUUUCUUGCCACUGACGGCCUAAAGUCCUUACUCUUUUUACAUAACCACAUCUCUGCCUCAUCUAAGCAGCAUUAAGAAACAGUAACAAACAAAACGCAAAACCAAAAUAACCAGCACCAAGUAACUCCGUAACUGUCCCGUGACCACACACAUGCCAGGCAUAGCUUUGCGGGCCAGUCCAGCCACCACGGAGAGAGAACAGUCCUGGCGAGAUCCAGCAGAAGAAACCCGAGACUGCUCCUGGGGGGGACUUCUCUCAGGGAGAACCACACUGCCAUUGAGGACCCUGAGGGGGUCAAUGCUACACCCCGCUGGACGGGCCUGAUGCUUCACAGGCACUCAAAAAACUAUUUGUGGUCUGAAUGAUAAAGCUCUAAUGAUGGAGUGUGACAUGUGGAAGCAGGUACAGGAAUGGGAUUCACCUAGCUCCCCACCAACCUCGUCUCCCAGGUGAGUGCAGAUACCACCUGCGAAGGCUAGCAAGGCCUGUGAGCCACACAGACCAUGAAUUUUCUGCCUUUUAAUGUUACGCCUGCCCUCUCCCGCUCCCCUCACGCUUCCAACUCUGACCAUCCCAGAUGAUUCAGCCUUGAACUGCUGAGGCUGCCAACCAACUGCUUUAACCACACGGAGAAGCCAGAAAUGUCCGUCACUUGUGCCCUCAGUUCAUCUUUAGAAGGAGAAUGACUGAAAGGACCUCCACUGCCCAGGAUGAUUGUUUUGACAGGUUUUUAUUGUGCAUAAAAUUGCGUCAUUGUUUUGUUUAACAUUGAAAGGAGUUAAACUGCUAUGAACUUAAUGCGCCACCCCCAGUAAACCAUUAGGUCCCUUCUGUGUUCCUGACUUUAUAAGUCUGUUUCCCUCAGAGGAACAUCUGUUGUAUACUUAAAUGACCUUAGUUCAAAGGCACGAUCAACAAAAAAUUCUUAACUCCACUAGGAAGCAUUUGAGGGUAUCCGUUACUCUGCGCUGGUCGCAGUAUUAGGGGCUUCUCCAUUA
rnacentral:lncRNA from 12 species